UUUUUUUUUUUUUUUUUUUUUUUUUUGCAUCUACUUUGCUUAGGCCACCUUGUCUGUUUGAUGGGUAACCCACGAGAACUUGCCAGCUUAUUUUUCAGGCCACACCUUCAGAAGUGAGAGAAAACUGUUGGUAUCUGCCACUACUCUCAAACACCGUGAUGUACAGAGCGAGACCAAUCAGUCCCUGCCCUCUUGGACCAGUGCAUGGAUGACUUCAUGGUCUUCCUUAUUGUGGCCGUGUUUGGAGUUUUGGGUUUUUUGGACAGAGUUUCAUGCAACCCAGCCUGGCCUUGAACUUAGUACGUUGCUUAGGCUGACUUUGAACUUCUGAUCAUCCAGAAUGCUAGAAUUAUGCCAUGCCUGCUUGUGAGAUGCUGGGUAUUCAACUCCGGGCUUCAUGCCUACAAGAUAAGCACGCUACCCCUGAGCCACAUUUUCCAAUCCUGCUAUGCAUUUAGUUUUAGCGAUGUUGAGGAAUAUGCAUCCGAAGGCCCACAGCAAUGCCUGCCAACUAGUAUGUGUCGAUGUAGUCAGAGUGAUCACUGUGCUGGCUGAGUAGUGGCUCCGCGCUCAUCCUGGAGAUGAGCAGCUACCUUCUCUCGGCCUUCUCCCUAACCAUGGUGACGAGUCACACACAUAUAUUCCCAUUUUCAAAUUAGAGAGUGAGGUGCAGAAACGUUCCAUGAAGGGAGCCAGGUGACAGAGCUGCCAAGGGACUCCAACCUGGGUGCACGGCAGCCAGUGAGAGCUGCAACACAGCGCCUCAGUUUAAUAUCAAAAAGAAAUUGCUAACUGUGAUUCAACGCUCACUUCGCAUAAUGCGUUUCUGUGACACUUCAUAGUAAUGAGAUAAUUACCAUGGGUACAGUAUUAGAGUAUACAUAUUCCGAUAAGUUACAGCUGCGAGAAAUCGGUAAUGGCCAUUAAUCAGCCCGUGUUCAUUCUUCCCCCAGUCUCAGACUAGAAGUCAAACUGUAGACUUCCAGCAAACCCAAGACGGAUGUUAUCUUCGUCAUUUCUGCCGUUUAGAUGAAGAGCUUAUGAAUACAAUAGACGCUCCCUAAUUCAAACUAAUUUGGGCAAACAGCUUCCUGAAUUGAGAAAAAUUGGAAUUGAAGUAUCGUGGUAAAUAUAUAUCGAGUGUGAUAUAUUUUAGAAGUAUCAAGUGCAAUUCAAGCUGUUAGUAAAUAAACACCCUUGGGGAACGACUCUAAUAUAUGAGAAGAAUUUAAAAUGUGUGCAUCAAUUGUUUAUUUAAAUCUGAGUCUCUUGAGUCCUCCAGUCUUUGAGGCUCAGUUCUAUCUUAAGUGGGUUAAGCAUUCCCCUUAUCAUCUUUAUUAGACCAAUCCUUUUACAUAGUAAGCUCUUUGUAUGUGGGGAGAAAUAUCAGGUUGGCCCUUUGCCAAGCUACAGCUACAAGCAGUGUAGUCACAGUUUAACUUAGCUAGGUGUUACUACACAACGCCUAAAAAAAAUAGCAACUGAUGCAGUCUUUUGUUUGCCUUAUUUCUUUUGUUUUAUUGGAGUUUUUGUUCGUUGUGUUUGCUUUGAGAGAGGGUCCCAUUGGAUACCUUGUAUUGGCUACCUCAGCCUCCUGAAUGCUUGGAUUAUAGGUGGUAUGUAACACCCCUGGGAGUUGAUUUUUUUUUUAAAUUGAAGUACUAGGGAUCAAAUCCUGAGUCUUGUCCCUGCUAUAUUCCACGCUGAGCCUUAUCAUCAGCCCUCGACAUCUUCUUAUAUCCUGGCCUGGUAUCUAGUGACCUAAAAAGAUAAGUUCUGAGUCUUCAUAUCACUUAAAGCUAUUGGCUGGCUUAAAACCAUUAAAUGGGAAGGAGCCGUGCACAGUUGUAGAACUUCACUGAGCUGUGGCUGCCAGUCAACACAGCAGUGCUGGCCAUGUCAGAAUAGUUGUCACCCACGAGGGGCGCAUUCUCAGGUCAACACUUGGGAGCAAAGCAGGAGCUUGCAGCAGGCUGCAAGGUUCCUUGACGUCUGAGUCCCACGCAGCUCUCUUAUCCUCUGAACCCAGUUCUGGUCCCAACUCAGCACCUGGCACCAGAUGUGCCAUCAGGGGAGGAAAGAAAAAUCUACUUUUAAAUUAAUCAUGUAAUUUACACACUUCGUUUACUUGCUGGAUUUUUGAAGAUAAUUGUAAUUAAGACUCAAGUAUAAUUUUUCCUUCCAAUAUACAAAAUUCAAAAAAAAAAUCUUUGCAGAUGAGCAAUGGCUGCUUGCUUCCGAAGAUCUUAGUAAUGGAGUAAAAGGACUGUCUAGCUCAAGUGUGUUUUUGAAUGGACCGUGCCUUGCAGGGUGGCUGUGAAUAUAAGCUAUUGAUUUGAAUCCAGGGGCCAAAGAGAAGCCGUCAGAGCAGGAACCUCUUUGGAGAUCACGUGCCACAACCCCCUCACUUUGUAAUGAAGGAAGAAGAGGUCUGGCGAGGUGAAAUAGUUGCUGCCGGGUCACAUAAUUAAGUUUGUUUAGUUGCUGGGCUAUAGAGAGAUCUGGAAAACACCACAUGCAUAGUUUUGCUCCUCAAGUUCCUGACAUUUUGUGUUGUGUACACUCGGGGCAUUUUUAAAUACUGAUAACCACGUGAAUACAGAGCUCAUUUCCUUCAAUCUGGCCGUGUGGGCAGUCGCCAGUGAAGUCUAUUAUACUGUCUUGCCUGGUGGCUUUAUGAUCAGUUCGUUUGAUUUAUGGUGCUAGAUUGGACAAGAGAUGGCAAAAUAUUCAUUAUAGUUUCUUUAAAAAAAAAAAACUCCUUUCUUUCUCAUUCAUACAACUUCAAAAAUAUCUGUAAAAUCAUCAUCUGUUGUUACAAUACUUUAACUUCUGAAGAGAGAGUGG
rnacentral:lncRNA from 1 species